GAUGAAGAACGUAGCGAAAUGCGAUAAGUAAUCUGAAUUGCAGAAUUCAGUGAAUCAUCGAAUCUUUGAACGCACAUUGCGCCCCCUGGUAUUCCGGGGGGCAUGCCUGUUCGAGCGUCAUUUCACCACUCAAGCCUCGCUUGGUAUUGGGCAACGCGGUCCGCCGCGUGCCUCAAAUCGACCGGCUGGGUCUUCUGUCCCCUAAGCGUUGUGGAAACUAUUCGCUAAAGGGUGUUCGGGAGGCUACGCCGUAAAACAACCCCAUUCCUAAGGUUGACCUCGGAUCAGGUAGGGAUACCCGCUGAACUUAAGCAUAUCAAUAAGCGGAGGA
rnacentral:misc_RNA from 1 species